rnacentral:lncRNA from 1 species
AUGGAUUGAACUUGGCAUCCUUAUAGUUAAGGAUUGGAUCAUACUCGCCUGUAAGUCCUUGCUCGAGGGUGGUAGCUCCCCCUCGGGCGAUGUGCUCCGGAGUUAUCAUCACUGGGUGUAGUAGCCUCCCCAGAGAACGGUCCCGUCAGGUGUAGUAGCCUCCCCGAUACUGGGAUUUGAGUUGGUGAGUUGUUGAGGGCAAAACCUACGGGUUAGUCAAGAGAUUUAGCAAUGAGAUUGUGACCUUGCAUUCAUCAUGAGCAUACUAUUGAGCAUUGCAGUAUUUAUUGUUCAGGCAUAUUAGCUGCAUUUGUAUAGUUUGGUUACUAUCUAUAUCUCUUUCUUCUAUUAUGCCUAAUUUAGACCUAAUGGGAAAGUCGGCGUGGUUGGUUGCCGAACCCACUGGAAACUUUGUUGCAGUUCUCACCCCACUAUUUCCACAGAGCCGGGACCGAGCGAGCCGGCGGACGAUCGUGGUAAGGGCAUCGUGCCCUAGAUAGAGACCACCCGAGUUGGUUUCACAUUUUGGUCUAGUUGCAUACUCUUUAGUUAUCAUCUUUUGUACUUCGAUGAUUUAGUAUUAUGAACAUGUUAAAUGAAUGAUGUAUAAGAUACUUUAUAUUUCAAUGUAAGUCUUUUAUUUUGAGAUAUCAUGUGAUGUAAAAGAGAAGAAAUGAUGCAAAAAUGUAAAUAAUUUUACUUAGUUUAUUACUUUCACUUUUGGCUAUUGCUUGCCGUUGUGCAAGCCAUUGUGUUUGCUUCCGCAUGUGCAACAUUUUACUCUAUUGAUACUUAUUGUUGAGCCUUGGCCGGAUAGGGGAGGCUCUGUUCGUUCGGCAUCUGUUCGACGCGCUCGAACCGGCCAAAAGGAUCGGGCUUGGGGCGUGACAGAUAUAAUGGUAUUAGAGAGUAAAAGCCAAAAAGGUGAAAGUUUAGGAUAGACCUAGAGACCUUUAGGAUUGGAAAGACCUUUAGGAUUGGAAAGACCUUAAGGACCUAGGAAACGUGAGUGACGUUGAACAAAGUAUAGCGAAAGCUUCUGAUUGGGUUAAUGUUACUAUGUCUCUAAUGUGGUUAGGGACUAAAUUUAAGUUGAUAUUUGUUUUCUUUUCCUUGUGUUGUGAUCGGCGGCCGACGACAUGAUGCUUUGGAAGGAAAAUAAAUACACUUGUUGCUUUCGCCGAACUGGGUAUAAUCGAGUAUAUUGUCUUAGUAACUGACGUGAAUUGCUUCAUUUUCAGGAAGCAAUGCCACCUUGUGGACGACCUAAGUUACCUCGUGGUCGACCGCGGACGAGGUCUAUGGCCGAGGAGCCAAGUACGGCUCCGGUGCAACCUGGAGCGGGUGACGACGGGGAGCUUAGGGAGCAGUUGGCCGAGCUUAUUGGCGUAGUGCAGCAGCAAGCGGAGUCUGUUCAGCGCCAAGGGGAGCAGAUCCAAAGGCUCCAAGAGGCGCUAGAGCGACAGCAAGCAGCGGCGCCCGUGGAGGCCGUGCACCCUACGCCCCCUGCAAUGGUGCCGAGCACGGCCGAGGGCGUGGCGGCGGCAGCCGUGCCUAUUACAGUGGUGCCGGCUGGUUCGGGGACCUCAAACCCCGAUAGUGCGACAGAUGAGGCAGAGUGGGAGCGCGCGUUGGCGGCUCUGAUUCAAUUCAAGAAGUUCAAUCCACCUAUCUUUGAAGGAGGAGUGGUGGAACCAGCGGCGGUGGAGUCAUGGAUCGACUCCAUGGAGAUAUUGUUCGAGGACCUAUACACCUUGGACAAGGACAAGGUGCCCCUCGCCACACAUUGCCUUGAGAAGGCGGCGAAGGUGUGGUGGAAGCGAGUUAGGCGGGAUCGAUAUCUCGAUCUUCCGCCUAUGCCUUGGGAGGAGUUCAAGAGAGUGGGCGAACUACAUUCCCGACACGGUGAAGCGGAAGUUACAGGAGAAAUUUCGCAAACUGCGACAGGGAGACCGCUCAGUGGCGCACUACGAGCAGAAGUUCUCCCACAUUAUCGACUGCGUCCCGGAUGUUGUUCGGGGUGACCGAGAUCGAGCAGACUAGUUCCUACGAGGAUUGCGGUCGGGGAUUCAUAGGGCCGUGCAAAUCCUUAAACUCACGACCUUUGUGGAGGUCUUUGAUCGAGCUUUGUGGGCGGAGCACGGCUAUGCCCACGAGCGUGAGGAGCGUGAGUCCGCAGUCGAGGCAAGGGAUAAGGAAAAGAAGCGGGCGGCGGGUGGCACCGGGGGCUAGCCAAAUUCUAAGAAACCCCCUCGGUACCCACGACAGCAAUCAAAGAAUUGGAAGCCUCUCCGGUGUGUUAUUUGUGGAUGCGAGCAUCGACCGUUAAACUGCCCGCAAGGCGAAGGAAAGUGCUUCAAGUGCGGUCAGCCGGGACAUAUGAUACCGGAGUGCCCGAGAUGGGCGUCGUCUGCACCGACGGCAGCCUCAGUUCCUUCCACCCCGAGACAGCUAGCAGGGUUACCACCGGCUAUGUCUGCUGGACGCUCUUCUGCAUCGCGUCAGCCGGAGGCAUCUAGGGCACCGAGUGGGCGGGUUUUUGCCACUAAGGUGGAGGAGCCAAUUCCAGUCCCCGACGACGUCGUGGCAGGUAUUAUCUUGAUCCGAGGCACUAGAGCUAGAGCUUUAUUCGACACAGGUGCAUCGCAUUCAUGCAUAUCGGCAUCAUUUGCACUAGCUCAUGACAUAGAGGUCACACAUAAUGAGGACUAUUGGACGGUGAAUACACCUGGACAUUCAUUCCAUGUACACGACGAGUGUUUGGAUUGUCCAGCACAGAUAGGCGAUUGGAUCAUGCUGAUCGACCUAUUGGUAUUAAACCAAUUGUGGGGCUUCGAUGUAAUCUUGGGGAUCAAUUGACUCUCCAAGUAUUAUGCCGUGAUAGAUUGCGAAAAUAAGGUGAUCACGUUCCGUGAGCCUAAUCAAGAAGAGCUAAUAUACCGGGCGUGUAAAAGUAGGCGCUUCGCGGCGACCAUAUCGGCGGCGAGGGCAAGAAAAAUGAUUAAAGGCGGGUGUGUGGCCUAUUUUGCGACAAUGGUGGACACUCAAAAGGCGUACCCCGAUUUGGGGGACAUUCGGGUUGUAUGCGAGUAUCCGGAUGUGUUUCCGGUGGAGUUACCGGGAUUGCCACCGGACCGAGAGAUCGAGUUCAUCAUUGAUUUGGUUCCCGGGGCGGCGCCAAUUUUGAAGGCUCCAUAUAGAAUGGCACUGGCGGAGCUAAAUGAGCUAAAGGCACAGUUACAAGACUUGCUCGAUAAAGGCUUUGUGAGGCCGAGCGUGUCACCGUGGGGAGCUCCGGUGCUAUUUGUCAAAAAAAAAGAUGGCACACUUCGACUCUACGUGAACUACCGCGAGUUGAACAAGGUGACAAUUAAGAACAAGUACCCAUUGCCGAGAAUUGAUGAUUUUUUCGAUCAGUUGUAAGGGUCGAGGGUGUAUUCAAAGAUAGACCUUCAAUCGGGGUAUCAUCAGUUAAAGAUACGGCCCAAGGAUGUGCACAAGACGGCGUAUCGUACGCGGUAUGGCCAUUACUAGUUCACGGUUAUGCCGUUUGGGCUUACAAAUGCCCCGGCAGCCUUUAUGGACUUAAUGAAUCGAGUCUUCUGUCCGCUAUUGGAUCGGUGCGUCAUGGUAUUCAUUGACGACGUUUUGGUAUAUUCUCGGACCGAGAAAGAACAUGAGGAGCACUUGAGGACCGUGUUGGAAAUGCUUCGAAAGGAGAAGUUAUAUGCCAAGUUGAAGAAAUGUAACUUUUGGCUAUCGGAGGUCACUUUCUUAGGCCACGUGAUUUCGGGUGAGGGUAUCUCGGUGGAUCCGAAGAAAGUAGAGGCAAUUAAAGAUUGGCCUCGCCUGACGAGUGUAUCGGAGGUCUGCAGUUUUCUUGGACUUGCGGGCUACUACCAGCGGUUCGUGGAGGGGUUCGCCAAAAUAACCACUCCGCUAACGCGCCUCACACAUAAGGGAGUCAAGUAUGUUUGGAGCGACGAUUGCGAUCGGAGCUUUAAGGAGUUAAAGGAAAGGUUGACGACAACCCCGGUGCUUGUGUUGCCGAUGCUGGGGGAGACCUUUAUGGUAUACAGUGAUGCUUUCUAUAUUGGUCUCGGGUGUGUCUUGAUGCAAAACGGCCGAGUUAUAGCUUAUGCUUCGCGCCAGUUGAAGACUUAUGAAAAGAACUAUCCGAUUUACGACCUCGAGCUAGCGGCGGUUAUCUUCGCGCUAAAGUUGUGGAGGCAUUACUUGUAUGGUGAAAAUUGCGAGAUUUAUAAGGAUCGCAAGAGUCUUAAGUACUUGUUCACCCAAAAAGAGCUAAACAUGCGACAACGACGGUGGUUGGAGUUAUUGAAAGACUAUGAUGUCACUAUCCUAUACCACCCCGGGAAGGCGAAUGUCGUGGCCGAUGCACUUAGUAGGAAAUCGGGGGAAAACUUGGCUUCGACAAUUACACCUCAACCGUUAUUGCAAAAAGAGAUGCAACUGCUUGGAUUGGAAGUAAUAGCACCGGGAGUGCCGGCUACACUUGCCGCGUUAGUGGUGCAACCGACCUUGUUAGAGAGGAUGAAAGAGCUACAAGCUUCCGAUGAGUAUCUCCAAAAGGUGUGCGGUGAAGUUGAGAGCGGUAGUGCCGAUGACUUUGGCAUUGGGAUCUACGGCACACUUCGAUUUCGGAAUCGUUGGUGUGUACCUAAGAACAAGGACAUCCGCAAGGCGAUUAUACAAGAAGCGCAUCAAUCUCCUUAUAGUAUCCACCCCGGCGGCACCAAGAUGUACCAAGAUUUGAAAUUGCAUUAUUGGUGGCCGGGCAUGAAGAAAGACAUUGGGAAAUUUGUUGCACAAUGUCUUACUUGCUAACAAGUAAAAGCGGAGCGACGAUUUCCGGCAGAAAAAUUACAAAGCCUAUCUAUAUCCGUUUGGAAAUGGGAAAAUAUCGCGAUGGACUUCGUGACCGGAUUGUCCUGAUCUCAAGGUGGACAUGAUGCAAUUUGGGUGAUAGUAGACCGGUUGACGAAGUCGGCGCAUUUCCUACCGAUUCAUAUAACUUGGUUGGGGGACAAGUUGCUCAAGUAUAUAUCGAUGAGGUUGUGAGACUUCAUGGUGUUCCGGUAUCAAUUGUAUCGGAUCGGGACCCGAGAUUCACAUCUCGCUUUUGGAGAAGCCUACAGGAGGCAUUGGGCACACGCCUCGACUUUAGCACGACAUUUCAUCCUCAAAGUGAUAGUCAAUCGGAGAGGACGAUACAAAUACUUGAGAAUAUGCUUCGAGCGUGUGUACUUGACUACAAGGGCGGUUGGCACGAUCAUCUACCGAUGGCGCAGUUCGCGUACAAUAAUAGUUAUCAAGAGAGUAUCGCGAUGGCGCUAUUCGAGGCCCUUUAUGGAAAGAAAUGUCGCUCUCCAAUCCAUUGGAGCGAUGUGGGCGAGAGAGCUACUCUUGGCCCGGAUGUGGUGCGGGAAGCGGAGGAGAAAGUUCGCUUUGCCCACCAAAGACUCACUACGGCGCAAUCUCGGCAAAAGAGCUAUGCCGACAAACGGAGAAAAGACAUAGAGUUUGCGGGAGUAUACGAUGUGUUCCAUGUAUCGAAUCUCCGCAAGUACAUUCAUGACCCCGAGCAUAUCCUCUCGUUUGAACCGUCCGAGAUUCAAGAGGAUAUGACCUAUGAGGAGUUCGCGGCGUACAUCAUCCAUCGAGAAGUAAGGAAACUAUGGAACCGUGAGAUUCCGUAUGUUAAAAUUCGUUGGAGUAACCACGAUGAUUGGGAAGCUACUUGGGAGCUCGAGAGCGCAAUGUGGGAGCAUUAUCCUCAUCUCUUCACUGAGCUAAAUUGAGGUAUGAGUUUAAGUUUAAAUUAAGAAAGUUUCGCGGACGAAACUAAUUUUAAGGGGUGGAGAAUGUAACGUAUCAAAUUUUAGCCAAAAUGGAUUACAGUGCCGAGAGAAAUAGAGGGACAAACUCCAGUUGAUAUUCUAACAAUGUUGGAAGGGUCAAAGUCGAGUUCUGAGAGUGUUAAGCAAGUUUUAGCAUUGCUCGGCGUGAUUUAAAAGUGAAUAAUGCGAAAGAAAUAGAUGAACAAGUUCCAAUUAGCAUUCCAACGAGGUUGGAAUGGCUAAAAAUGAGUUUAAGAGGUGUUAGAAAGGUUUUAGCAUCGAACGGCGUGAAACAGAAAUGAAAACGGUGCAAAAUUGCAUUUUGGAGCAAAGUGUACUGGUACAACCACCGAGUUUUCACCGGUAUAGCAUUGCAGGCUGAGAAGGAGAAGCUCUCGGGUUUGAGAAAUUUUGCCUGUGUUACCGGUGACACCCCUGGUGUGUACCUGUACACUUUGGAGAAACCCGCGAGAAUUGCUCUCGGGUUUGCCUCUGCGUAAUCGUGUUACCGGUGACACCUACAAUGUACCGGUACACUUUGCGUCUGACAGCAAAAUAAAAACUGCUGCAAAUACAAGUGUUUGGAGGGCUUUUUGGCUAUUGUUACAACAUGUAAUAUACCCCAACACCCCUCCCACCUGUUCUAAACAGCAACCACUCCCUCCUCUCUCAUUUUUCUCUUUCUCUCUAGAAAUCCUCUCUAAAGGCAAGGGAGGAGCUAAGGAGAAGGCUUGGAGAAGGUGAUCUUGGAGGAUUAGAGGAUCAAGAAGCUCUCCUACAAGGUGGAAUUGGAGGAGCUUAGGACUAAGGUGAGUUUAUUGCAAGAACUUUUCUAGGGUUUGGAUUUCCACCCUAAGGUUUAAUGUUUUGGACUUGUAGUAAGUUUAGAAACAUCGAACAAGCCAUGAACUCCAUGAAAACCCAUGGAAGCUCAAGGUGCUCUCAUGGUGAUCACCUAGGGGGUGUGUUAGAUGCCCUAGGGUUGGUCCAAAUGAAUUAGUAAUGGUAUUAGAGAGCUUCCUAGAUGAUUCUAAGCUAGCACUUUGGGAUGAGAUCAAUCUAGGAGAAAACCAAAUAUGACAUUGUUAGAGCACUCAAUUUGGGGCUUUGCCUCCGACCGUUUUCGAGGCAAAUUGACCUUGCGGAAACCUAAUUGGGGGUACUCUCGACGCGUGGGACAACUCUGUUUGACGUUACGAAAAGGUUUAGAUAAAGUUAUUGAGUAAAAGCCUAAUUUGGUUUCAUUUUGCCGCAGGCGAUAAAGUAAGGCUUCAAAAAUCCCAAGAUUUGAACCGUAGCAUCCUCUCAACCAUCUAAGGUGGGUGGUGCAUACCGAGGACCUCGGAAUUCCUUUAAUGUUUAAAGUGUCAAAUUUGAGCAUAUGUGUAUUGAGCAUAAAAUUGCAUAGUAGGAUUAUAUUUGAGCCAUCUAUUGUAUAUUGUGAGUACAAAUGCAUGUGAGUUACUAGCGAGAAUGUGAAAAUUUUAUAAACCCUAUUUAUGCAUGACAAGUGACAAGAACUUAGUGGACUUAGUAAACAAAUGUGACAUCUUGACAUAGAAGUAGAAAGUGACAAUGAUGAGUCGAGAAGCUAGAGUUGGAACACUUAGAAAACAAGUAUGGUAUGUGUACAAGAACAUAGUAGUGUAUUUAACACUAGUGAAAGUGAAGAAUGCAAGUAAAAGUGUGAUAGUGACAUUAUGACAUAACAACCUUAGGGUGCGUUUGGUUCGCAUUAUGAAAGAUUACUAGGAAUAAAAGAUAUCCGGGAAUCUUAUUUCUAUUCAUUCUAUUACUAAGAAUGUGGAAUUCCUAUGUUUGGUUCGCACAGUAAUAUUAAUUAGCUAUGUUAUUUGAUAUUAAAAAAAAUAUACAAUUAAUUAAUUAAUUAAUUUAAUUAUUUUUAGAUAAUGUUACCAAAAGUUUCAACAUCUUUUUAGAAAAAGGGAGAAAGAGUAUAAGUUAGAGAGAGAGAGCAUAAUUAAAAAAAUAGAAAGAAAAAUAUAGUCGAAAUUAGAGGGAGUGAGAGAGUUGAAAUUUUAGAAAGAGAGAGAGAGAGAAAGCUUAGUUUAGAGAGAGAAAAAAAGUUGAAUUUUAGAGAGAAAAAUAAGUUUAGAGAGAGAUAUAAGGUUAGAGUGUAACGAAAAAUAAUAUCAAUUAGCCGGCGGGUAGGAAGAAAGAAAGAGAUUAGACAUAUUAUGAUUACCCCAAUCCAUUAAUAUGAGAAUACCCACCCUCCCUCAAGGGAAUGAGAUUAGUACUUUGGGGUGAAUCUUAUUCCCAAGUGAAUCCAGUAUUACUAACUAGAUUACUUAGUGCGUUUAGCCAAACACCAUCAUAUUUUUUUUAUUCCCAUUGGAUUACUAGGAAUCUUUAAAAGAUAGCGCGAACCAAACGCACCCUUAGAGUUAAGGAUUGGAUCAUACUCGCCUGUAAGUCCUUGCUCGAGGGUGAUAGCUCCCCCUCGGGCGAUGUGCUCCGGAGUUAUCAUCACUAGGUGUAGUAGCCUCCCCAGAGGACGGUCCCGUCGGGUGUAGUAGCCUCCCCGAUACUGGGAUUUGAGUUGGUAAGUUGUUCAGGGUGAAACCUACGGGUUAGCCAAGAGAUUGAGCAAUGAGAUU